rnacentral:pre_miRNA from 1 species
UAUAAGAGAUUUUGAGUUUUUGUUUGCAACGUUUGACCACUCGUCUUAUUCAAAAUUUUUUGAAAUUAUUAUUAUUUUUUGACUUACUUUAUUAUCUACGGUAUUUUAAGUAUAAAUUUUCGUUUUUUAUAUUUGCAAAAAAAAAAUUGAAUAAGACGAGUGGUCAAACGUUGCAAUAAAAACUCAAAAUCCCUUGUAUC